rnacentral:rRNA from 1 species
AGAGUUUGAUCCUGGCUCAGAACGAACGCUGGCGGCAUGCCUAACACAUGCAAGUCGAACGCUCUUGGGGCUUCGGUUUCAAGGGAGUGGCGCACGGGUGAGUAGCGCGUGGGAACCUGCCCUGUUGUGGGGGAUAACCGAGGGAAACUUCGGCUAAUACCGCAUACGCCGGUUGUCUUGAGAGAGAUGGCCGGGAAAGAUUUAUCGCAGCAGGAGGGGCCCGCGUCGGAUUAGCUUGUUGGUGGGGUAACGGCCUACCAAGGCUUUGAUCCGUAGCUGGUCUGAGAGGAUGAUCAGCCACACUGGGACUGAGACACGGCCCAGACUCCUACGGGAGGCAGCAGUGGGGAAUAUUGGACAAUGGGCGCAAGCCUGAUCCAGCAAUGCCGCGUGAGUGAUGAAGGCCUUCGGGUUGUAAAGCUCUUUCGCCUGCGACGAUGAUGACGGUAGCAGGAGAAGAAGCCCCGGCUAACUUCGUGCCAGCAGCCGCGGUAAUACGAAGGGGGCGAGCGUUGUUCGGAUUUACUGGGCGUAAAGGGCGCGUAGGCGGCGAUGUAAGUCAGGCGUGAAAGCCCCGGGCUCAACCUGGGAAUUGCGCUUGGGACUACGUUGCUGGAGUUCGGGAGAGGAGCGUGGAAUUCCCAGUGUAGAGGUGAAAUUCGUAGAUAUUGGGAAGAACACCGGUGGCGAAGGCGGCGCUCUGGACCGAUACUGACGCUGAGGCGCGAAAGCGUGGGGAGCAAACAGGAUUAGAUACCCCCGUAGUCC